rnacentral:lncRNA from 1 species
CCUUAAAGAGAAAAUAGGGUAGUGUUAGAUGAUAAGCUUCGAUCUAGAGGGGUGAAUAGAUCACAAGUUAAAAACUUUAAUAAAAAACUGUUUUGAAAAAUUUAUGUCGAACGGAAGUAACCCGGAUUGAAACUGAACCGCUAUCAAAAAAUUUGGAUAUGCGUAAUUACAAUCAACGUAUGAUAAUGAACACAAAUUAGAUCAACAAACAUCAACCACAAUCAAUUGAAUGUAAUACUUAAAAGUAGAGAAUAU